AAAACACAAGAUUAGAAUUUUUUGUAUUUUUUUUCAUCGCGACCUGUCAAAAUUUUGUAGUUUUGAGAAUCAAUAUUUUGAAUUUGAAUGCACACCCGAACAAAGCAGCCACAAGAGCAGCAUUUUUCGUCAGCAGCAGAAGCAGCAGCCAUCUAUCUACUUGAUAAGUUUUCAUCAACAACAACCAGAUGCUACAAAUCAGCUCAACUUGACUCAACAUCCUGGAUCUGGCAAUCAGCCAACCAACAUUAAAUCGAUACAACCGUAGCAGUACCAACAACUCCAAAUCCAGCAGCUGCCAACAAUCUCUCAAAAAAGAACCACAGCAAUUACAGCUCAGAACCAACAAAGCAACAAGAGCUUUUUUUACGAAUAAUGGACCCAACGGACACACUUUAUCGGCACAUUCUGUCGUAAAACUUGCCUGCCACUAUUCUUACCAGCGGUUACCUUCCUGAUGUAGAGAAAUCAGAGUCAAACACAAACGUCAUAUUACUGCCUUGGCUCCUACCAGUUGCUUGCAUGAAAAGAUCGCUGCCUCCACAGUGCUCGUAAUUCCAUCCCAGCAGCAGCUAGCAACCACAAUUCCAGUGCUUAUCGCCAGCAACAUCAGAAAAUUAAGAUUUUCCCUAGACCAUGACCAUCAUCCGACAGAUCGGUAGCAACAACGUUCAACUGACGGUAGAACCUGGCCAGCAACCGCAACUAGUGCAAUCGAUCCAAGCCAAUGAGGGCCAAAUGUAGAAGACCAUUGGUCAACCGCAAAAAAAAGAUACAUCAACAGCACCUUCAAACACAGUAGCAGCAGCAUACUGUACUGUACCACGCCGCGCGCAGGAGGACUUUUUUAUUCAGUUGGUGCAGCAAGAUCGAACAGCAACCAUAGCGGAUACACAUCACCGAACACCAGCAACAUAAUGCCAUGGUAACCACCCAGCAGCAGAACACGGCGAUAAUGGGCCAACAGUAAAUACAACAUCAAGAUCCUCGGAAAGGACUUUCUCUUUCGAACAAACAUAAUGGAAGCAUACUCUACACGCACGACAUAUUCAAUCGGGCCAACCGUGUGACUCGUUUGGAAAAAAGCGCUCAUCAUCGGUUUCAUGGCAGCGAAGUGAGCAGACAAAAGAAGGCGUUUUUUCCGCAAGGUCGCUCUGGGCAAAAGUUCAGCCAAUUGCAAGGAAUAAACCACCGGAGUGACAGUAUCCGUGCUGUUUAGGACCUUUUUCCAUAUAUUGUAGCUUUUGAAUUUUAAUACCCGGUCGAAACGAUGGCAAGUGCUGCCGAUAACUGGGUCAAAAAGGCGGAGGGAGGAUCAGGAAAUUUCUGCACUCGGUUAUGGAUCUGAGUAUCCCUAAGGAUAAGGAACCAGAGCCGGCGGCUGACAGCCCAAAGAAAGAGAAUGCGGAAAAACCUUCUAGUUCACCGCCAGUACAACCAGCGAUCAAAUUACUCCCGUAGAAACGGCUGCACCUGCAGUUUUGUUUUCGGUAGCUACAGAAAUUAAGACUUUAGCAGCUCCUGAAGAAAAAAAAACUGCUAGCGAAAAUGGAGAAACAGCUUCCUCCACGGAAGAUGCAGAGGCAUUCAACCCGGCGGAUGCAAGUUUGCUAAUUAAACUUAUUCGCAAAGGUCUAGUAGAAUCAAAGCUGGAUCUGGGGGUGAAGGAUCCUUCUUCGCCGCUAUACUUGGUUAAAACUUUCGAAGCUUUGCACAUGAAUUCGGAACUGCUUCAGGGAGUCUAUGCUAUGGGUUUCAACGCUCCUUCCAAGAUUCAGAAGACGGCUCAACCUACUCUGUUGGCCGAUCCGCCACAGAACAUAAUCGCCCAGAGUUGGUCGGGAACAAGAAAAACCACCGCCUUCGUGCUGGCAAUGCUCAAUCGAGUCGAUCCGUUGAAAAACUAUCCGCAGGUGAUUUGCCUUUCCCCACGUAUGAACUGGCAAUUCAGAAGGGGAAAGUAGCUGCAAAACGGCAAAGUUUUGUGCGGAAAUCGAACUUGGUUAAACCGUUCGCGGUGAGAAGAUCGUCAAAGGGGCGAAGCUGACUAAUCAUAUCAUCAUCGGAACAGCCGGGCGUUCGACCUUAAGAAGAUUGCAAUUUUUGUACCGGAUGAGGCGGGCGUUAUGAUCGCUGUUCUUUUUAGCCACGUACGAGCGGGAGGUGAUGGGAUUCGCCCAGUACAUCGUAACCAAUCCGAUCAUGAUUCUUCUAGUGCGGGAGUAAAAAUCACUCGAUAACACCAAACACUACUACGUCAAAUGCCGCAACCAGGACGAGAAAUAUCAAGCAAUUUCAAACAUGUACGGUGUGAUUACCGUCGGACAAGCGAUCAUUUUCUGUCAUAUGAUGUAUAGGACAGUUGCAAACUCCAAGUAAACUUAUUUUCGGCAUUGUUAAUCGAUCGAAACAGGCACGCAAAACGGCCGGUUGGACCAGGAUAAUCACUCAGUAGCGGUACUGUCCGGUGAUCUAACGGCGGAGCAACGGUUGGCCGUUCUGGAUCGAUCCUGAGCCGGACUAGAGAAGGUAUUGAUUGCAACGAACGUUUUGUCUAGGGGUAUCGAUGUUGCACAGGUGACCAUUGUCAUCAACUUCGACCUGCCGAUGGAUUAGCAGGGACGAGCCGAUUGCGAAACACUUCCGGAAAAAGACCAGCUACUGGUGAUAGGCAUAGGAGCUUUUUGGGUCAUACUUGUUAUGAUUCUGAAUUUAUAAUUUUAUUAUUUUUUUUUCUUCCUUGACCUGACAUAUGUAA